UACGGAAUGUGCAAACGUUAUUCGGAAUCACUGGGCUUAAAGAGUCCGUAGGCGGCAUGUUAGGUGAGGUGUGAAAUCCCCCGGCUUAACCGAGGAAUUGCGCUUCAAACCGGCGUGCUAGAGGAAGAUAGAGGUGGGCGGAACUGAUGGUGGAGCGGUGAAAUGCGUUGAUAUCAUCAGGAACACCGGAGGCGAAGGCGGCCCACUGGGUCUUUUCUGACGCUGAGGGACGAAAGCUAGGGGAGCGAACGGG
rnacentral:rRNA from 1 species